AGAGAGCCUUUUUCUGUAUGAAUAGGAUUGGUCCAGUAAUUUCGUGGAAAAGUGUGUAGUAUUCUAUUUACAACUCUGAUGGGAAUUUCUCUAACUUAACAAUGUUGUUUUGAUGUUUUAUUUUAUCUCCUUCAUGCGGAAGUUUCACGGUUUUCUUCAUGCUGCAAUGAUAGGUGAGACUAUGAACCUUCGCACUUUCUUCUUGAUCCCUACCCAUUUUUCUCUUGCAUCCUCUGCCUCCCUUCUCUCUUUGUGCUUAUUGUGUCUAUAACAUUCAUUGCAAAAGCUUAUUUUUAAGUCACCAUACAAAAUUGUCCCAUCCACGAAUAUGUGGCCCACUACUAUCCCUUGACCAUUCUUUUUGCUGAUAAGUUAACUUAUGAUCACACUUUCAUUUUAGCAGAUUAGCUUUGUUUUUAAAAUUCCCUUGAACUGUUCAAGUCCUUGGGAUUUCCACGGCCUUUUUUCAUCGGUUCCUCUAUUUUUAUGAUGUUACUCUUAGUUCAACAACAAUCAUCAAGAGUGCCAGCUAAAUCCAUUGAACUUUGCUUGGAUCUCAGGAGUAAACUUGAAGAACAUAUCCGGGUGCAUACUCUUGUCCAGAGCCAAACCUUUGACGUUACUCUGGGUUCUUCAACAAUCAUCAAGAGUGCCAACUAAAUCCAUUGAACUUUGCUUGGAUCUCAGGAGUAAAAUCAAAGAACAUGUCCAAGUGCAUACUCUUGUCCAUAGCCAAACCUUUCCUUGUAACCUCCCUCAGGUAAGCUUCUUUAUAGAUUUGCAUCCAUUGGAGCAGCAUGUGUUUACUCUUGUGCUAGAUCUUUACGAGACUUUAGUCUACUCUGAUUGGAAGGUAUUCUUUUUCUGUUGAAGGAAAUGUGUGUACGAUUAGCAAAAGAGUGAGUUCUUUUUUGAGGAAAAUUAGGCAAAUAGAACAAAUUCCAUCUGUCAUGGAUGCACGUUGCUAAGAUCAUUUCAUUGAGCAGUAACAUUGCACCCAUUGAUUGCAAUUUUAGCUUUUUCCUAUUUUGCUUUUUUUUUAAAAUGGGG